UUGGGUUGUAAACCUCUUUUCUCAGGGAAUAAGCAAGUGAAGGUACCUGAGGAAUCAGCAUCGGCUAACUCCGUGCCAGCAGCCGCGGUAAUACGGAGGAUGCAAGCGUUAUCCGGAAUGAUUGGGCGUAAAGAGUCCGUAGGUGGUUGUGUGUGUCUAUUGUUAAAGAGUUUGGCUCAACCAAAUAAGGGCGGUAGAUACUACCAGACUGGAGUGCGUUCGAGGCAGAGGGAAUUCCCGGUGUAGCGGUGAAAUGCGUAGAGAUCAGGAAGAACACCGGUGGCGAAAGCGCUUUGC
rnacentral:rRNA from 1 species